rnacentral:lncRNA from 1 species
AUGACCCUGAGCACGGUGCGCUUGAUGUCGGCGAUGGCCUCGGUGUAGACGGCCGCCAGCUCGUGGAUGAGGCGGUGGUUGUGGGGCAGCAGCGCCAGGUAGAGGUACAGGCACUGCUUGAUGGUCUCCUCCGUCCACGGCGCCGCCACCUCUGGGUGCCCCCCACCAAGGGGACGUCAGCACGGCACCCCCAAAACGCGUCCCUGCUGACCCCUAUGUCCCCAUUGUCUGCCUUUGUCCCCAUUGACCCCAAUGUUCCCCAUUGA